AUACAAAACAAUGCAAAAAACGAGAGAUUGUUUAUAAAAUAUUAAGUGACAUCAUCUUACACAUAUUUCAUUAACAACAAAUUAUUAUUAGGUAUAUA